GACGAACGCUGGCGGCGUGCCUAAUACAUGCAAGUCGAACGAACUCUGGUAUUGAUUGGUGCUUGCAUCAUGAUUUACAUUUGAGUGAGUGGCGAACUGGUGAGUAACACGUGGGAAACCUGCCCAGAAGCGGGGGAUAACACCUGGAAACAGAUGCUAAUACCGCAUAACAACUUGGACCGCAUGGUCCGAGCUUGAAAGAUGGCUUCGGCUAUCACUUUUGGAUGGUCCCGCGGCGUAUUAGCUAGAUGGUGGGGUAACGGCUCACCAUGGCAAUGAUACGUAGCCGACCUGAGAGGGUAAUCGGCCACAUUGGGACUGAGACACGGCCCAAACUCCUACGGGAGGCAGCAGUAGGGAAUCUUCCACAAUGGACGAAAGUCUGAUGGAGCAACGCCGCGUGAGUGAAGAAGGGUUUCGGCUCGUAAAACUCUGUUGUUAAAGAAGAACAUAUCUGAGAGUAACUGUUCAGGUAUUGACGGUAUUUAACCUGAAAGCCACGGCUAACUACGUGCCAGCAGCCGCGGUAAUACGUAGGUGGCAAGCGUUGUCCGGAUUUAUUGGGCGUAAAGCGAGCGCAGGCGGUUUUUUAAGUCUGAUGUGAAAGCCUUCGGCUCAACCGAAGAAGUGCAUCGGAAACUGGGAAACUUGAGUGCAGAAGAGGACAGUGGAACUCCAUGUGUAGCGGUGAAAUGCGUAGAUAUAUGGAAGAACACCAGUGGCGAAAGCGGCUGUCUGGUCUGUAACUGACGCUGAGGCUCGAAAGUAUGGGUAGCAAACAGGAUUAGAUACCCUGGUAGUCCAUACCGUAAACGAUGAAUGCUAAGUGUUGGAGGGUUUCCGCCCUUCAGUGCUGCAGCUAACGCAUUAAGCAUUCCGCCUGGGGAGUACGGCCGCAAGGCUGAAACUCAAAGGAAUUGACGGGGGCCCGCACAAGCGGUGGAGCAUGUGGUUUAAUUCGAAGCUACGCGAAGAACCUUACCAGGUCUUGACAUACUAUGCAAAUCUAAGAGAUUAGACGUUCCCUUCGGGGACAUGGAUACAGGUGGUGCAUGGUUGUCGUCAGCUCGUGUCGUGAGAUGUUGGGUUAAGUCCCGCAACGAGCGCAACCCUUAUUAUCAGUUGCCAGCAUUAAGUUGGGCACUCUGGUGAGACUGCCGGUGACAAACCGGAGGAAGGUGGGGAUGACGUCAAAUCAUCAUGCCCCUUAUGACCUGGGCUACACACGUGCUACAAUGGAUGGUACAACGAGUUGCGAACUCGCGAGAGUAAGCUAAUCUCUUAAAGCCAUUCUCAGUUCGGAUUGUAGGCUGCAACUCGCCUACAUGAAGUCGGAAUCGCUAGUAAUCGCGGAUCAGCAUGCCGCGGUGAAUACGUUCCCGGGCCUUGUACACACCGCCCGUCACACCAUGAGAGUUUGUAACACCCAAAGUCGGUGGGGUAACCUUUUAGGAACCAGCCGCCUAAGGUGGGACAGAUGAUUAGGGUG
rnacentral:rRNA from 2 species